rnacentral:rRNA from 1 species
CUGGAGGUAUCAGAAGUGCGAAUGCUGACAUAAGUAACGAUAAAGCGGGUGAAAAGCCCGCUCGCCGGAAGACCAAGGGUUCCUGUCCAACGUUAAUCGGGGCAGGGUGAGUCGACCCCUAAGGCGAGGCCGAAAGGCGUAGUCGAUGGGAAACAGGUUAAUAUUCCUGUACUUGGUGUUACUGCGAAGGGGGGACGGAGAAGGCUAUGUUGGCCGGGCGACGGUUGUCCCGGUUUAAGCGUGUAGGCUGGUUUUCCAGGCAAAUCCGGAAAAUCAAGGCUGAGGCGUGAUGACGAGGCACUACGGUGCUGAAGCAACAAAUGCCCUGCUUCCAGGAAAAGCCUCUAAGCAUCAGGUAACAUCAAAUCGUACCCCAAACCGACACAGGUGGUCAGGUAGAGAAUACCAAGGCGCUUGAGAGAACUCGGGUGAAGGAACUAGGCAAAAUGGUGCCGUAACUUCGGGAGAAGGCACGCUGAUAUGUAGGUGAAGCGACUUGCUCGUGGAGCUGAAAUCAGUCGAAGAUACCAGCUGGCUGCAACUGUUUAUUAAAAACACAGCACUGUGCAAACACGAAAGUGGACGUAUACGGUGUGACGCCUGCCCGGUGCCGGAAGGUUAAUUGAUGGGGUCAGCGCAAGCGAAGCUCUUGAUCGAAGCCCCGGUAAACGGCGGCCGUAACUAUAACGGUCCUAAGGUAGCGAAAUUCCUUGUCGGGUAAGUUCCGACCUGCACGAAUGGCGUAAUGAUGGCCAGGCUGUCUCCACCCGAGACUCAGUGAAAUUGAACUCGCUGUGAAGAUGCAGUGUACCCGCGGCAAGACGGAAAGACCCCGUGAACCUUUACUAUAGCUUGACACUGAACAUUGAGCCUUGAUGUGUAGGAUAGGUGGGAGGCUUUGAAGUGUGGACGCCAGUCUGCAUGGAGCCGACCUUGAAAUACCACCCUUUAAUGUUUGAUGUUCUAACGUUGACCCGUAAUCCGGGUUGCGGACAGUGUCUGGUGGGUAGUUUGACUGGGGCGGUCUCCUCCUAAAGAGUAACGGAGGAGCACGAAGGUUGGCUAAUCCUGGUCGGACAUCAGGAGGUUAGUGCAAUGGCAUAAGCCAGCUUGACUGCGAGCGUGACGGCGCGAGCAGGUGCGAAAGCAGGUCAUAGUGAUCCGGUGGUUCUGAAUGGAAGGGCCAUCGCUCAACGGAUAAAAGGUACUCCGGGGAUAACAGGCUGAUACCGCCCAAGAGUUCAUAUCGACGGCGGUGUUUGGCACCUCGAUGUCGGCUCAUCACAUCCUGGGGCUGAAGUAGGUCCCAAGGGUAUGGCUGUUCGCCAUUUAAAGUGGUACGCGAGCUGGGUUUAGAACGUCGUGAGACAGUUCGGUCCCUAUCUGCCGUGGGCGCUGGAGAACUGAGGGGGGCUGCUCCUAGUACGAGAGGACCGGAGUGGACGCAUCACUGGUGUUCGGGUUGUCAUGCCAAUGGCACUGCCCGGUAGCUAAAUGCGGAAGAGAUAAGUGCUGAAAGCAUCUAAGCACGAAACUUGCCCCGAGAUGAGUUCUCCCUGACUCCUUGAGAGUCCUGAAGGAACGUUGAAGACGACGACGUUGAUAGGCCGGGUGUGUAAGCG